AGUGGUCCUUAAAGUAUGGUUCCAGAACUAGCAGCGACAAGAUUACCUGGUGUGAAUUGAAUUAUGUUCCCCCAAAAUAUAUGCUGGAGUCCUAACCUCAGUAUGGAGAUGUUGCUGGACAAUGGCUGCCCCUUCAAGGACUAUUAUUUCCCAGCCUCUCCCCCUUGCAUCCAGGUAGACCCUGUUACCGAUGCAUGUCUACGUUACCUCUAGGAGACAGGUGGCUGACCCAUGCAUUGUACUGUAUGUCCACGGGCUUUCCAGGUUAAUUCUGCAUACGGGACAUAAUAAAAAGGCGCUUUUAGAGAGAGAGCUGGGCACUCUGUGGAGUUUCUUUAUAUGACCUGAGGCCUUACUCUAGUGGCACAGUUAAUACUGGUGAGAAUCACAAUAGACUAUAUUUGCAUUCAUCCUGGGGACAGCUUUGAAUUCACCCACACAUUGUAAUAAGUAGAACGUUUGCCCACAGAUUUCACAUUGCUCUAGUGUCUUAAUGAUCUUCCCCCAGUGCCUGUGAUAGACUUAAACAUAAUAGAAGCCAAUUUUGACUCGAAUUCAAUGUUCUCUGUAGGAGAGGAUGACUGAAGUUUAAUUAUAAUUCCUUUAUACCAAAUGUGUAUGCAUUCUCCAGCAUUUGAUGGGAUUCCUCCAAAAUUUCCAUCUCAAAAUCAGCCCAUCAGUAGAACAGUCACAUGCUGCCCAGUUAAUUAUAAUGGAAUGUGAUGGUUUGGGGCUGUAUUCCAAACAGAGCACCAUGACAUCUAUGCAAACAAGCUUCUGAAAAGCUAAUAAGACAAGGGUCUUUGUGCUAUUUCAAAUGUUUUUAUUUUGUUUUGUUUUUUCUCCUUAUGUAAAUAUGCCAAAGAUGGACUAACAAAAAAUGUUGGUUAUGUAGUUUUUUGUUACAUAUGUAGGCCAUUUCAUUUCCCCUCAUCUUCUCUGUUUCCUAUGUACAGCUAGGAAUAAAACUCACAGUUCUUCCAAGACUCAGAAGUUUAAGACAUAUUCUAGCACAUGGUGGAUUUAAAACAUAUUCACUGUUACUUUUGAAAAUUACAUUUUCCCAAUAUAAGUACCUUUUAGAAGAGUGCAUAAUGGACUUUGUAGUAAAGGCAAUAAUCAGUCUUUAUGUUUAUUUUGUGUCUCCUAAAUCACAGACCUGAAUAAAAGAUGCUACAUAGAAAACUGUAUUUCAUAAAUUAAAUUGAUACUUUGUGGAUUACUAUGUAUGUUUAACAUACAUGUAUGUGGAAGGGGAUGGUUGAAGGUGUAUUCCCCAAAUAAUACAACAGAGGGACUUUAACAGAGAAGGCAGGAGAAGUAUCAAUCUGAAU
rnacentral:lncRNA from 1 species